AGCCGGCCGGCGGUGAGGAGGAGGAGUGGAACGCAGGACCCCAGUGAGAUGGCGGGAAGCGGGAAUCAGGUGCCGCUGGCACCGAAGGCCAAAGAGGUCAACUGCCGGCAUCCUCCGAAGGCCGGAACAGGCUCCCUGAGAGAGUGCAGGGCGUCGUAGUUUUAGGAGUUAAGGAAGCCGGCUGCGGUCAUCUGCCUGGGUGUUUGGUUUGAGCCUUGGGGCCGGCCCCACUCGUGUUUCCCCGCAAGGACUUUAGUCUUUCUUGGAGUACAUGGGGUUUGGACCGUAUCGUUAUUAUUAUUAUUUAGAGGGUCUACUGUGUGUGAGCAUUGGUUGUUCUGGGCAGGGAACGCGCCAUGAGAUGGAGGCUUGGGGGAAUGAGUGCUCAGAAGUGCUUGAGAUAUGUUCUUAAUCUUCGUGAAAUGUUGGAGGUUGAGGUGAAAAAUCUGGCUUUGAAAUCUUCAUGAUGAACUAUAUCAUUUCAGUCCUGAGUCAUGUUCAAUUCUCUUAUUGACUUAUUACUAAAUUAAACAUGUUUUGUUUAAUUAA